rnacentral:lncRNA from 1 species
GGCACCACCCCAAGGGUGAAGCCCCGUCCUCUGAGCUGAGGAAGUGUGGGGUGAUGCUGGGGGAACCAGCACCCCCAGCCAACCUGCUUCAAGGCUCUCAGCUAACCUUGCGCCCAGCUGGGCAGGAAAGACCAGUGUUUCAACUCUGGAGAACUUUCCAAAAUGGGGCUGCCAGUCACCCGCCUGCCCCACCUAGGGCCCUCCUUAUCAGAUACCCCAGGCUUGCUGGGCGCUGAGGGUGAAUGCCCUCCUCCACAGUGAGCACACUCCAGUGCAAAAGCUGGGCUCCAGCUUGGACAUGAUGGUCAGAUGGGGUCUCCAGCAGGUGUAAACGGAGCACAAAGCAAAGCCCAAUGUCCCUCACAGCCGGAUCUUGGAAACCAUGUUUCCAGGUUUGGUCACUAAUGGAAGGAUCCUAUAAUUGCUGUUUCAUUUACAGUAACAGCUUCAGGUCACUGAGCGCGACUGCCCCAGCUAACGCUCCAAGACAGUGGAGGGGCUGCCCUGCGCCACCCACGUCCCUUCUGUGAGGCCAGCUCUGCUCUUUCCUUGGGCCUGGCCCUAUCAGCCACCUAGUCCAGGUGGGCCAAACCCACCGCUCCGGCCUGGAAGGUAGCCCUGGAGAUGGGCUCAGAAUGGCGUCCCCACUCCCGUCUGCCCCGUGAGCCUCCAUCGGGCCGUGCGCCGGACUGGCCAGGAGCCGUAGGACACUGCUUCACUGCGGUGCGCCUCUGACCACGAGGACGCUCCAGGUCUUGGGGGUCACCUUGCGUAGUGAGGGAGGCCGGCCAGAGAGCGAAGCUGGGAGACGGGGGUAGGGCCUGGGUGCACAGCUAAACUCAGCCGCCCCGGAACACUAUGUGGACACUUCCGGUGCCGUGAGACGUCGGCCCCGUGCGCCCGGGGGGCAGUCACAGGCGCGGCCUCGGGUGGCCAAGCGACGGCCCUCGCCCGU